GUAGUUCAGUCGGUUAGAAUACCGGCCUGUCACGCCGGGGGUCGCGGGUUCGAGUCCCGUC
rnacentral:tRNA from 1 species